AACGAACGCUGGCGGCAUGCCUAACACAUGCAAGUCGAACGAGACCUUCGGGUCUAGUGGCGCACGGGUGCGUAACGCGUGGGAACCUGCCCUUAGGUUCGGAAUAACUCCCCGAAAGGGGUGCUAAUACCGGAUAAUGUCUUCGGACCAAAGAUUUAUCGCCUUUGGAUGGGCCCGCGUUGGAUUAGCUAGUUGGUAGGGUAAAAGCCUACCAAGGCGACGAUCCAUAGCUGGUCUGAGAGGAUGAUCGGCCACACUGGGACUGAGACACGGCCCAGACUCCUACGGGAAGCAGCAGUGGGGAAUAUUGGACAAUGGGCGAAAGCCUGAUCCAGCAAUGCCGCGUGAGUGAUGAAGGCCUUAGGGUUGUAAAGCUCUUUUACCCGGGAUGAUAAUGACAGUACCGGGAGAAUAAGCGCCGGCUAACUCCGUG
rnacentral:rRNA from 1 species